rnacentral:rRNA from 1 species
GACGAACGCUGGCGGCGUGCUUAACACAUGCAAGUCGAACGGAAAGGCCCUGCUUUUGUGGGGUGCUCGAGUGGCGAACGGGUGAGUAACACGUGAGUAACCUGCCCUUGACUUUGGGAUAACUUCAGGAAACUGGGGCUAAUACCGGAUAGGAGCUCCUGCUGCAUGGUGGGGGUUGGAAAGUUUCGGCGGUUGGGGAUGGACUCGCGGCUUAUCAGCUUGUUGGUGGGGUGGUGGCUUACCAAGGCUUUGACGGGUAGCCGGCCUGAGAAGGUGACCGGCCACAUUGGGGCUGAGGUACGGCCCAGACUCCUACGGGAGGCAGCAGUGGGGAAUAUUGCACAAUGGGCGGAAGCCUGAUGCAGCAACGCCGCGUGCGGGAUGACGGCCUUCGGGUUGUAAACCGCUUUCGCCUGUGACGAAGCGUGAGUGACGGUAAUGGGUAAAGAAGCACCGGCUAACUACGUG